AUGGGAUGCGCUGACGUCCGCCGCAACGCAGUGACGUCAUUUUCAGGUGCCGCGGCCGGAAGGCCGUUAACGGCCAGCGCGCACCUGCAAGCACUUUGGUGAGGGGAUAUAAGUUUCCAAAAAGUCACACACAGCCUCUGGGCCAGUCUCCACUCCUACUGAUGCUGAGGAUGCUGAUGAUGCUGGGAAGAACAUUAGCAUUGGGUGUGUUUUCACAUCAAUUUGUCAACAAUAUUAAAAAAAAAAUUUAGGCCCAUCCACACGUGUUGCCAUCACGGAAACGCAGUCUGGGUGUGUCUUCCCGGCCAGUACACAUCACACCACCACGUCGACACAUGUUGGAGGUAUCAGCCGCCCCACCGUUGCAACUCCUCGACAGUCCACAGUCAUUGUCCCCACAAUCGCCACACCUGCCUGGUAAGCUUUAAAACACAACACAAAAAUGUCACAUACUUCCACACACACACUUUACCAUAUGCCAAACAUUGUCCAAAUUCUUCAAAGAUGCCUUUUCUAUUUCAGAUGGCUUAUUGCCCAUACCAACCAAACACAUUCCACUCAACAUUUAUGUUAGUCAUUAUAGUCCAAACAUUAUAGUCCAAACAUCUUGGAAACUAUAAAAAAAACAAAAAAAAACAAUGUGAAUAAAAACAACAUCCAGUAAUUAAAAAUUUCUGUAACUUAAUAUUUGUAGGCCAAGGGAACAAAACACAUUCGAUAUUCUUGAUUAGAUAAUAAGCUUACACUUACACGCAACUGGUCUCUCAUUUCAGGGGAUCCCAUUGUUCAGCCAGCUCCACCAGUCCAGAACCUGACAUACACAUUACACCUCACACCAAUACCCCUGCCUGACCCAACCCGCACACAUUUGUCUACUCCGCCCAGGCAAAGGAUACCACAUCCGGACAUAAGCCCAACCACACCACAACCACAGUCUCAGGAACAGGCUUUCUGGGACAGCUGGACCACUUAGCAAAGCAAUAAUCUAGAGUGAUUGCGUAGGCACACACAAUUAAUCGCUAGUGUGGCCCAUCACAUACCAAGAUUAUAUAGAAGCAACAGUAGACAAACCACUAAACUCACCAGAAUAGGCUAACACCAUGGAAUUUCUGACGGCAGACAAUAAUAGGAUGCUAGACACCUAUCAAAGUAUUAUGGAUGAAAAUCACAGGCUCCACCAAUUAUACCUGCAAAUGUUAACGGCCACACAAACGACACAAGAGAGCAUGGUCCGAAUAAUGGAAAGCCACGCGACAGCUACUAGAGACUUGAAUGACACUCUAACUACACUAACCCAGCAUCUCAGGCAUCAAUCAGAGCAAACAAGUACCAGCUCAACAGCCACAACCCCCUUAGUGUCACCUGUCACCUCGCCACCAAGACGUUCUGGUCGAACACGACUAGACACAAGUGUCAAAGGCCCAUCCACAUCCAAAAGAAGACCUGCAAAAUAAUUACAAAGAAUCAUGUGUUUUAAUUGGAAAUUGGUAAUUGUAUGCAACUACCAUUAUACAUGUUUUUGGCAAAAUUAAGGCCAUGGUUUAUUGUUCGCUUUUCAAAAACUAAAACCAAGGCAAAACAAA